rnacentral:SRP_RNA from 1 species
UGCCAGGGCCCAUGGAAUGCAGACUUACAAACCCCGUGAGGGCCGGAAGGCAGCAGCGGUAGUAUGCUCGGCAUCCGCCGUGGUCACCCUGGCAUCC